rnacentral:rRNA from 1 species
CCGAGUUGUAAUUUGUAGAGGAUGCUUCGGGUACGGCUCCGGUCUAAGUUCCUUGGAACAGGACGUCGCAGAGGGUGAGAAUCCCGUACGUGACCGGCCUCCACGCCCGUGUGAAGCUCCUUCGACGAGUCGAGUUGUUUGGGAAUGCAGCUCAAAAUGGGUGGUAAAUUUCAUCUAAAGCUAAAUAUUGGCCAGAGACCGAUAGCGCACAAGUAGAGUGAUCGAAAGAUGAAAAGCACUUUGGAAAGAGAGUCAAACAGUACGUGAAAUUGUUGAAAGGGAAGCGCUUGCAACCAGACUUGCCCGCGGGUGAUCAGCCGGUAUUUUUACCGGUGCACUCGCCCGUGGUCAGGCCAGCAUCGGUUUGGGCGGCUGGAUAAAGUCCCCCGGAAUGUAGCUCCUUUCGGGGAGUGUUAUAGCCGGGGGUGCAAUGCUGCCCGCCUGGACCGAGGACCGCGCUUCGGCUUGGAUGCUGGCGUAAUGGUUGUAAGCGACCCGUCUUGAAACACGGACCAAGGAGUCUAACAUCUAUGCGAGUGUUUGGGUGUCAAACCCAUGCGCGUAAUGAAAGUGAACGGAGGUGGGAACCCUCAAGGGUGCACCAUCGACCGAUCCUGAUGUCUUCGGAUGGAUUUGAGUAAGAGCAUAGCUGUUGGGACCCGAAAGAUGGUGAACUAUGCCUGAAUAGGGUGAAGCCAGAGGAAACUCUGGUGGAGGCUCGCAGCGGUUCUGACGUGCAAAUCGAUCGUCAAAUUUGGGUAUAG